rnacentral:tRNA from 2 species
AAUAAGAUGCCUGAAGUUUUAAGGACUAUUUUGAUAGAAUAGAAUAUGUAUUUUAUACUCUUGUUA